rnacentral:rRNA from 1 species
UACAGAGGAGCCAAGCGUUGCCCGGAUUGACUGGGCGUAAAGCGCACGCAGGCGGCACCGCGCGUGGGGUGUGAAAUCUGGCCGCUUAACGGCCAGGCGCCAUCCCAUACGGCGGAGCUGGAGUGAUGCAGAGGUCGAUGGAAUUGCCGGUGUAGUGGUGAAAUGCGUAGAGAUCGGCAGGGACACCCAGGGGGAAACCAGUCGACUGGGCAUCUACUGACGCUGAGGUGCGAGAGCGUGGGGAGCGAACCGG